rnacentral:rRNA from 1 species
CUACGGGGGGCAGCAGUGAGGAAUAUUGGACAAUGGGGGAAACCCUGAUCCAGCAAUGCCGCGUGUGUGAAGAAGGCCUGCGGGUUGUAAAGCACUUUCGGUUGGGAGGACUGCUUCUAGCACUAAUAUUGUUGGAAGUUGACGUUACCUUCAGAAGAAGCACCGGCUAACUCCGUGCCAGCAGCCGCGGUAAUACGGAGGGUGCAAGCGUGGAAUCGGAAUUACUGGGCGUAAAGCGCGCGUAGGAGGCUAGAUCAGUCGGGUGUGAAAGCCCCGGGCUUAACCUGGGAACUGCAUCCGAUACUGUCUAGCUUGAGUACAGGAGAGGAGAGUGGAAUUCCACAUGUAGCGGUGAAAUGCGUAGAUAUGUGGAGGAACACCAAUGGCGAAGGCAGCUCUCUGGCCUGAUACUGACGCUGAGGUGCGAAAGCGUGGGGAGCAAACAGGAUUAGAUACCCCGGUAGUC